GCGCCACUCUACCUGACUUCUUCUCCUUAAUCCUCACUCGAGUAUUUAGACGUUCUUCCCAAAUGGUUUGUCACCACUAACUCAUUUCCCCUAAAUAUCCAAGUGAGAAUCUUCAGACACUUCCUAUAAGCCUAGAUAUCUAGGGCUUAUGAAUUAAUGUUGUACUUAAUGCAUCUUUAUCAUAAUUUGUAAAAAAAAAAAAAAAAAAAGGGGAUCUAAAUCACAGACUUAAAAAAAUCACCCAAAAAAGGUAGUUCAUUUUGGGGAAUGCUUUUGAAAAAAUUUAGGGACUUCUUGUUGUAAACUAGGUUUUUGCAAAGGUAUAUGAAUGAGUGAGGUUUAAAUUUGAUAGUGCUCUGAAUACUGCUUUUCCAGAUUCAGAAAUUAAUAAUACGCUGUUUGAGGAAGGAACCCACGUCAAUAGAAGGAUUGCAUACAAGUGCACCUGCGUGUAUCCUGAUGUUGCUUGGAUAUGAAUGUUGAUACAGUGGGUGGUUUAAGUAGGAAAUAUUCAGUGCUUUCCUUCUUGCUUCUGAGCAUCCCUGAAGUUCUAGGGAAACAAAGUAAAAGACGUGAUCAUUGCCUUCUAGGGGUUUCAGAAGGGAAGGUCACACCUGCACACGGAAAAGCAGGGACGUACCCAUGCUGCCCUGUUCUCGGGAUACCGGGGAAAGGGUUGCAGAACCGUUCCACCUGCUCACCAGCUCCAGGAUUUGGCAGCCAGUGCCACUCCUCUGACCUCCGAGGCUCGGCGUUAUGGACUUACCCCAGUAGGGAUGGAUCCUGCCUUUCCCACCUCACAGUGACUUCUGUGAGGGUUAAACGAGAGCCGUGAGAGCAAUGCAUGUCAGCUGUAUCCAUUCCCGUAGGAUUUGGAUUUCAGGAUUACGUUCUGAUGUAUAAUCUGCAAAAUUAUUCUGCAUUGUCGAGUCUUUACCAGAUUCCCAAGAUGCAACAGGCUUUCAGAUUUAUUAUUCUCCCACAAUGAAGAAACUCAAGGAUACGAAAACCUGGAAGAGCUUUUCAUUUGACAUCUUUCUUUCAAGGUAACAGUUCUGCUGCAGUUUGUUUAGUGUGCACCAGCUUAUUAGUGGCAGCUUUGUGUGAAAAUGUGGUUAUCACAAAAGGUAAUAUAUGGUAAAGAGCAGCUGCUCCUAAUCACAAACCAUCCAUAAAUAGCUUUCCCCCCUUGAGAAGACUCUCCAUUCUCUGGUUGUAACAGUCAGCAGAAAAUUAAAACCCCAUAGGAUGAUAAAUAGUUUAAAACAUAUUUCUUCCCAGUGUUUUGAAUGUUGUCUUGUAAUGCAGUGCACUUUUACUGAACCAGAAAUUGUCUGUAAUAAAAGAAUAUUGGGAGAAAAUGUUUAGAUUCUCACUGAAUUCUAGAACUUAGAAGGAAUAUUCUGGUUUCACUGUUAAAGGUUAAUCACUGAGUAUAUGUCAUAGGCUGCAAUAAAAUGAGAGUUUUUAGUCUCCUGCUCCCAAUAAACAGUUACAAUUUUUAACACAUCAAAGUUGGAGACCUUUUUUUCUUAAUUUAAAAUAACAGCCAAAUGAAUUUCUUGGCAAUAAGCAAAUGCUUGCUUUUAAAAAUCCUAUAAAUAUUUCAUUUUUUAAGUCGUCAAAAAGAAAACAAAUCACUUCUUUCAGCUGUCUUUUGACACAAAGCCAUCUUUUCUGUACACACAGGGAAAAAAUAUUGCUCUUUAUGCUGAUGCCUUUUCUGGCUAUUAGUCAUCUGUUUAUACAUGAUAUUGACCAUUCCCUGGAGGCACUCUGAACUUGCACCUUCCCUUCCUUAUGAAAGAAAUUGAGGAGUCACAGAAAUAAUUUCAGAAUUUUCUCAAGACUGUUGAGACUAAAUUCUAAAUGAUCAAACCAUGGUAGCAAAUUCAUUGUCAGGUCGAGGCUGUGAUUUUUCUUUUCUUUUUUUUUUCUUUUGUGACAGUCUCACUCUGUCGCCAGGCUGGA